CCUACGGGUGGCAGCAGUGGGGAAUAUUGGACAAUGGGGGGAACCCUGAUCCAGCCAUGCCGCGUGUGUGAAGAAGGCCCUCGGGUUGUAAAGCACUUUCAGUGAGGAAGAACGCCUGGUGGUUAAUACCCAUCAGGAAAGACAUCACUCACAGAAGAAGCACCGGCUAACUCCGUGCCAGCAGCCGCGGUAAUACGGAGGGUGCGAGCGUUAAUCGGAAUUACUGGGCGUAAAGCGCGCGUAGGUGGCUUGAUAAGCCGGUUGUGAAAGCCCCGGGCUCAACCUGGGAACGGCAUCCGGAACUGUCAAGCUAGAGUGCAGGAGAGGAAGGUAGAAUUCCCGGUGUAGCGGUGAAAUGCGUAGAGAUCGGGAGGAAUACCAGUGGCGAAGGCGACCUUCUGGACUGACACUGACACUGAGGUGCGAAAGCGUGGGUAGCAAACAGGAUUAGAUACCCCAGUAGUC
rnacentral:rRNA from 1 species